rnacentral:rRNA from 1 species
AGAGUUUGAUCCUGGCUCAGGAUGAACGCUAGCGGCAGGCCUAAUACAUGCAAGUCGAACGGGUGGUCGCAAGACCACUAGUGGCGCACGGGUGCGUAACGCGUAACCAACCUACCUGGAUCUGGGGGAUAGCCCGCCGAAAGGCGGAUUAAUACCGCAUAAGCUAAGUGACCGGCAUCGGUUGCUUCGUAAAGAUUUAUUGGAUUCAGAUGGGGUUGCGUAGCAUUAGCUAGAUGGCGGGGUAACGGCCCACCAUGGCGACGAUGCUUAGGGGACCUGAGAGGGUGAUCCCCCACACUGGCACUGAGAUACGGGCCAGACUCCUACGGGAGGCAGCAGUAGGGAAUAUUGGGCAAUGGGCGAGAGCCUGACCCAGCCAUGCCGCGUGCCGGAUGAAGGCCUUCUGGGUUGUAAACGGCUUUUCUCAGGGAAGAAAAAGAGGGUGCGUCCUAAACUGACGGUACCUGAGGAAUAAGCACCGGCUAACUCCGUGCCAGCAGCCGCGGUAAUACGGAGGGUGCAAGCGUUGUCCGGAUUUAUUGGGUUUAAAGGGUGCGUAGGUGGCUUGUUAAGUCCGGGGUGAAAGCCCACAGCUCAACUGUGGAACUGCCCUGGAUACUGGCAAGCUUGAGAGUAGUCGAGGGUGGCGGAAUGGACGGUGUAGCGGUGAAAUGCAUAGAUACCGUCCAGAACCCCAAUUGCGUAGGCAGCUGCCUAGGCUACAUCUGACACUGAGGCACGAAAGCGUGGGGAGCGAACAGGAUUAGAUACCCCAGUAGUCC